rnacentral:tRNA from 1 species
GGAGGGUUAGGCGAGUGGUCAAAGCCAGCGCACUGUAAAUGCGCCCCCGAGUGGUUCUCAGGUUCAAAUCCUGAAUCCUCCACCA